rnacentral:rRNA from 1 species
GACGAACGCUGGCGGCGUGCUUAACACAUGCAAGUCGAACGGAAAGGCCCUGCUUUUGUGGGGUGCUCGAUUGGCGAACGGGGGAGUAACACGUGAGUAACCUGCCCUUGACUUUGGGGUAACUUCAGGAAACUGGGGCUAAUAUCGGAUAGGAUCUCCUGCUGCAUGGUGGGGGUUGGAAAGUUUCGGCGGUUGGGGAUGGACUCGCGGCUUAUCAGCUUGUUGGUGGGGUAGUGGCUUACCAAGGCUUUGACGGGUAGCCGGCCUGGGAGGGUGACCGGCCACAUUGGGACUAAGGUACGGACCAGACUCCUACGGGAGGCAGCAGUGGGGAAUAUUGCACAGUGGGCGGAAGCCUGAUGCAGCAACGCCGCGUGCGGGAUGACGGCCUUCGGGUUGUAAACCGCUUUCGCCUGUGACGAAGCGUGAGUGACGGUAAUGGGUAAAGAAGCACCGGCUAACUACGUG